rnacentral:rRNA from 1 species
UACGUAGGUGGCGAGCGUUAUCCGGAAUUAUUGGGCGUAAAGGGUGCGUAGGCGGCAUGUUAAGUUUGUGGUGAAAGCGUGGGGCUCAACCCCAUUAAGCCACAGAUACUGGCAAGCUAGAGUGCAGAAGAGGGUAGUGGAAUUCCAUGUGUAGCGGUAAAAUGCGUAGAUAUAUGGAGGAACACCAGUGGCGAAGGCGGCUACCUGGUCUGUAACUGACGCUCAGGCACGAAAGCGUGGGGAGCAAAUAGGAUUAGAUACCC